AGGACGAACGCUGGCGGCGUGCUUCACACAUGCAAGUCGAACGGGGCUCAUUCGGUGGUAACACCGGAGAAGGCCUAGUGGCGAACGGGUGCGUAACACGUGAAGAACCUGCCCCGAAGACUGGGAUAACAGCGGGAAACCGCUGCUAAUACCGGAUGACCCCACCAGGCCGCAUGGCCAGGUGAGGAAAUGGGCCUACCGCUUCGGGAGGGCUUCGCGGCCUAUCAGCUUGUUGGUGGGGUAACGGCCUACCAAGGCUACGACGGGUAGCUGGUCUGAGAGGACGACCAGCCACACUGGGACUGAGACACGGCCCAGACUCCUACGGGAGGCAGCAGUGGGGAAUCUUGCGCAAUGGGCGAAAGCCUGACGCAGCAACGCCGCGUGAGGGAUGAAGGUCUUCGGGUUGUAAACCUCUUUCGAGCAGGGACGAUUGUGACGGUACCUGCAGAAGAAGCUCCGGCCAACUACGCGCCAGCAGCCGCGGU
rnacentral:rRNA from 1 species